UCAGUGUUCAAUGGAUCAAAAAAUUGAAAAACAAUUGGCUAAGUUUUCUAGCGAUAUUCUGCAUUUGAAAAUUGAAUUCACGGCCUACGAAGUUAUACCAUUAGAUCGCAGACUGUUAGCUAUGAUUGUUGGUACCGUCGCAACUUAUCUCGUUAUCGUUAUUCAGUUCAGUUUCGGCACAGCUUCUAAUUGACAAUAUUCAAACUUUUAUUUUUUGUGCUCACAUAGACUAUAAUUAUAUUCUCUAGUUAUUCAAAAUAACUGAUCCAAUAUUGUUCUUCUGACAAAUAAUGAUCGCAUUUAUUUACAUAAUCACGAGAUACUGUGUAUCACUCAAAACAAAUAAACAUAAUUAUUG